UUAAAAUACGAUUUAAUAUCCGCAUUCUUUUGGAGGGUUUUCUUCUUUUUUCAAUCCUCUCUUGGUCCCCAGGUCAACCAGCCAUCCGCCAUCGCAGUGCGCCGAUAAUAGAUUUAUGUUUGUGAAACAAAAUUGGUACAAAGCGACAGAGUAAAGAUGGUGCCUAAUGGGACUUCAGAGAUCCAACAAGUUGAACAAACCAGCAAGGCAGAUUCAUCAAGGAAAGCAAAGGAAAUU